rnacentral:rRNA from 1 species
UACGGGGGGGGCAAGCGUUGUUCGGAAUUACUGGGCGUAAAGGGCGUGUAGGCGGCCAACUAAGUCCGACGUGAAAUCCCCAGGCUUAACCUGGGAACUGCGUCGGAUACUGGAUGGCUUGAAUUCGGGAGAGGGAUGCAGAAUUCCAGGUGUAGCGGUGAAAUGCGUAGAUAUCGAGAGGAACACCAGUGGCGAAGGCGAGUCCCUGGACAACUCCUGACACUGAGGCACGAAAGCUAGGGGAGCAAACAGG